CCUUUUUCCAUUUUUUUUCCUCCUUAAUCUUAAUGUCUUACUACCCUAUCAGUUCAUCCUAUACAUUGCUCAAGGCUCAACUGGAAGCUUUUCUUCUUUUCAGGUUUAGCUGUGUCUCCCAGUGACUAUAAUGACAAGGAAGCUGUAAAUGUAUUUGAGUUAAGUUUUUGCGAGAAACCCUACAGCUUGGGGCCUGGGCUCCUCUGACCAUCCUCAUUGAGAAAGGAAAGUGAGUCCAGAGAAGUCGAUGCUUCCUACCUGUUGGAGCGGCCCAGCAGUGGCCAACAAUGAGUUGUUAAAACGUCUCCAGGAGGAAGUGGGUGACCUGAGG
rnacentral:sRNA from 1 species